rnacentral:rRNA from 1 species
CAGCAGCCGCGGUAAUACGUAGGGGGCGAGCGUUGUCCGGAAUUAUUGGGCGUAAAGCGCGCGCAGGCGGUCCCUUAAGUCUGAUGUGAAAGCCCACGGCUCAACCGUGGAGGGUCAUUGGAAACUGGGGGACUUGAGUGCAGAAGAGGAGAGCGGAAUUCCACGUGUAGCGGUGAAAUGCGUAGAGAUGUGGAGGAACACCAGUGGCGAAGGCGGCUCUCUGGUCUGUAACUGACGCUGAGGCGCGAAAGCGUGGGGAGCAAACAGGAUUAGAUACCUGGUAGUCCACGCCGUAAACGAUGAGUGCUAAGUGUUAGAGGGGUUAAACCCUUUAGUGCUGUAGCUAACGCGUUAAGCACUCCGCCUGGGGAGUACGGCCGCAAGGCUGAAACUUAAAGGAAUUGGCGGG